UCAUUUGCAGCCAUCAUCAUGAAUCUGCUAUACACUCAGCACAGCAACAUGAAUGCAGCUAGAUGCCAUUAUCUGAAGUGAACUAAUAGAGAAAUAGAAAACCAAAUACCACGUGUUCUUACCGGCCUCCCUAUUCUCUGAGACACAGCAAUAUGGAAAUUAGGCAAAUCAAUGACUGUACAAUGGCCUCUAAGUGUCCAAGUUAAAGGAAGAAUUACAUGUCUCUCCCUAUAAAUCAAAAAC
rnacentral:lncRNA from 10 species